rnacentral:rRNA from 1 species
GAUGAACGCUGGCGGCGUGCCUAACACAUGCAAGUCGAGCGAGACGGCUUAGAAUGAUCCUUCGGGAGAAUGAUAAGCUAGACAGCGGCGGACGGGUGAGUAACGCGUGGACAACCUGCCUUAUACUGGGGGAUAACGUUUUGAAAAGAACGCUAAUACCGCAUAAGCGCACAGGACCGCAUGGUCUGGUGUGAAAAACUCCGGUGGUAUAAGAUGGAUCCGCGUCAGAUUAGCUAGUUGGUGAGAUAAAAGCUCACCAAGGCAACGAUCUGUAGCCGACCUGAGAGGGUGAUCGGCCACAUUGGGACUGAGACACGGCCCAAACUCCUACGGGAGGCAGCAGUGGGGAAUAUUGCACAAUGGGGGAAACCCUGAUGCAGCGACGCCGCGUGAAGGAUGAAGGUUUUCGGAUCGUAAACUUCUAUCAGCAGGGAAGAUAGUGACUGUACCUGACUAAGAAGCCCCGGCUAACUACGUGCCAGCAGCCGCGGUAAUACGUAGGGGGCAAGCGUUAUCCGGAAUUACUGGGUGUAAAGGGUGCGUAGGCGGUUUAUUAAGUCAGAUGUGAAAGCCCGAGGCUCAACCUCGGGACUGCAUUUGAAACUGGUAAACUAGAAUACAGGAGAGGUAAGUGGAAUUCCUAGUGUAGCGGUGAAAUGCGUAGAUAUUAGGAGGAACACCAGUGGCGAAGGCGACUUACUGGACUGUUAUUGACGCUGAGGCACGAAAGCGUGGGGAGCAAACAGGAUUAGAUACCUGGUAGUCCACGCCGUAAACGAUGAAUGCUAGGUGUCGGGGGUCGAACCUC